rnacentral:rRNA from 1 species
CGUCAAAUCAUCAUGCCCCUUAUGUCUUGGGCUACACACGUGCUACAAUGGGCAGUACAGACGGAAGCGAAGCCGUGAGGCGGAGCAAAUCCGAGAAAGCUGUUCGUAGUUCGGAUUGCAGGCUGCAACUCGCCUGCAUGAAGUCGGAAUCGCUAGUAAUCGCAGGUCAGCACACUGCGGUGAAUACGUUCCCGGGCCUU